UCAGGCAAAAAGCAAGCAUUUAAGGUCUUCAGCUCCAAUCUUUCGUUCAUUUCUUAUUGCUGUAAUUUCAUAUUCAUUUUCUUGUUGGAUGACUAAACCGGAUGAUGGUAGAGAUGGUAAGCCGGCAUUUACUCAGCCCCACCCUGCUCAGCCUCGGGAGCAGACGAAUUCUCAGCUGGUGAAUUGGCUGCUUUUGUCUCUUUGCCAUCUUGUGGUUUAGGGUUUUCUGGGCGUCUGCGUCGGUAAUUGAAGUUAUGGCGGUACCGACGUUGAGGUGGCUGCUGACCUUGGGUCUCAUCUCCUUGAUUUUCCUUAUCUUCUUUAUUGCCGUCCUCUCUGGGCUGUCUUUGGCGAGGAGGGCCCCUACGGAAUCGUGGUCUAUAACCCCGAUACAUAUGCUGUCUCACUGGUCUACCUUGUUCUCCUGCACCCUGGUAGGCAGCACCCUCCAUCACCUCUCCCUGCACAGGAGGGUUGGAGUACUGUGGUCGACGCCCAUAGGGUCUCCGCAUGUAGUAAGGCGGGACCCUCCGCCUGCGGUAGGGCCGGCGCUGUUGGGCCUGGCCUUCGGGAGCGCUCUCCGAUCCCUCAUUCUUUUCCCCACUCUCACUGUCCUGGUAAUUCUGCUGGUAAUUGCGUGGAGGACCCCUGCGACGUGGAUAGCGUCUAUAAUGUUUACGGUUUGCUGCAUGUUUACUGCCUUGCACUGGAACUCCACCAGGGCCUGUAACAUUUGCUGCCUCUGCACCCUUUUCUCCUUAAACAACAUCAAACUCCACAGUCUCUCCAUCUCCUACACUGCGAAGGUACUUCCUGGGGUUAUUCUUUAUGGCAGUCUGGUGUACAAAUACAUCUUCCUUGGUAUCAUUCCUGUUGAUGAAACCAUAUCCGUUUCUUCCAUUGAACCAUUUUACUGUUCCCAAAACUUUCGUUGCAAUGACUUUUUGUCCCUGCUGGCAGGCGCCGCCUAUGUGAGGCCACCCGGGCCGCCACUCCCUGCGCCGCUGCCCGU
rnacentral:lncRNA from 1 species